rnacentral:rRNA from 1 species
CACGUAGGGCGCGAGCGUUUGUCCGGAAUUAUUGGGCGUAAAGAGCUCGUAGGCGGCCUGUUGCGUCCGCUGUGAAAGCCCGGGGCUUAACCCCCGGGGUCGGCAGUGGAUACGGGGCAGGCUAGAGGUAGGUAGGGGAGAAUGGAAUUCCCGGUGUAGCGGUGAAAAUGCGCAGAUAUCGGGAGGAACACCGGUGGCGAAGGCGGCGACCUGGGCCAAUAUUGACGCUGAGGUGCGAAAGCGUGGGGAGCAAACAGG